rnacentral:lncRNA from 10 species
GUGCUUCUUGCUGUAGGAGGGGUAUACCUCCCUUGUUGUCAUCACCACGAGAAGAAUUUGUCCCUAGUAGUCUCUGGACCAGAGGUAGAGCAGAUUUGAACCCAACCCACACCUAAAGCAGAACCACCAAACUGACUUGCAUACAUUUGAGUAAGAAAAAUAAAUGCUGAACAGUACAAAGUGCAUCCCAGCAAAAUUGAAGCAAG